rnacentral:lncRNA from 1 species
GGGGGUAUUUAGUUGAGCCUAUUCCAAGAUAUUGAUUGAGUCUUAUGAUUCACUAUCAUUUUGGGCAAUGUAGGUAGUAAUUAGACAUGACAUCUUUGGCAGGCACUUGAAGAAGCUGCUAUUGAGUUCAUUCUGCAUGUAAAAUUGGUGCGUGUAAUUUUUUAUUUUGAAUCAAUUAUACUUUAUGAUAGGUUCUUAUUUGCAUUUUUUUUGAAUUAUCUUGUUUGCAAUUGAACUAUAACUCUAUUCUGAUCGUGAGUUGCACUUGCAUUAAUGUAGUGAGCUAUUGAUACGG